rnacentral:rRNA from 1 species
CAGCCGCCGCGGUAAUACCGGCGGCCCGAGUGGCGGUCACUAUUAUUGGGCUUAAAGCGUCCGUAGCCGGGUUGGGAAGUCCUCCGGGAAAUCUGGCCGCUUAACGGUCAGAAUGCCGGAGGAUACUCCCAGCCUAGGGAGCGGGAGAGGCCGAGGGUAUUCCCGGAGUAGGGGUGAAAUCCUAUAAUCCCGGGAGGACCACCUGUGGCGCAGGCGCUCGGCUGGAACGCGUCCGACGGUGAGGGACGAAGGCCAGGGGAGCAAACCGGAGUAGAUACCCGGGUAGUCCUGGCUGUAAACGAUGCGGACUUUGUGUCGGACAAGCUAUGAGCUUGUCCGGUGCCGGAGGGAAACCGUUAAGUCCGCCGCCUGGGGAGUACGGCCGCAAGGCUGAAACUUAAAGGAAUUGGCGGG